rnacentral:lncRNA from 1 species
ACACAACCAUCGAUUCCAAGGUUCUAAAAAGGUCCCUAGAGUCACUGAUUCCACAUGAAAACAUUAUCGCCAUGACGAAGGCUCGUCGGACAAUAACAUCUCCAAGAGAAUCUACUCUAGGCGGGGUCUUCAUAUUGUCCCAACGAGGAAGGCUCCUCGUGGGCCAAUACUACACAACCACCAUCUUAAUCCUAUGUUUUUUCUCAAACUCGGCUAGAGAGCCUAUCUCACAAAGCACG